rnacentral:rRNA from 1 species
UGAACUUUGUUCUUUGUACCAAGUUUUUGACUUGGGCGCGUAGCUCAGGUGGUUAGAGCGCACGCCUGAUAAGCGUGAGGUCGGUGGUUCGAGUCCACUCGUGCCCAUAGUGUUUAGUCCAUUACUAGGGGAUUGGAAUAUUAUCUGUUCACUAAGAGGACACGGGCUUGUUCCCGUAUAAACUAUUUUGGAGGAUUACCCAAGUCCGGCUGAAGGGAACGGUCUUGAAAACCGUCAGGCGUGUAAAAGCGUGCGUGGGUUCGAAUCCCACAUCCUCCUUUUAUAUUAACGCGGGAUGGAGCAGCUCGGUAGCUCGUCGGGCUCAUAACCCGAAGGUCGUAGGUUCAAAUCCUGCUCCCGCAAUAAGGCUCGGUAGCUCAGUUGGUAGAGCAAUGGAUUGAAGCUCCAUGUGUCGGCGGUUCGAUUCCGUCUCGCGCCAUUUNNNNNNNNNNNGUGCCUUUUGUAGAAUGAACCGGCGAGUUACGAUCCCGUGCGAGGUUAAGCUGAAGAGGCGGAGCCGCAGCGAAAGCGAGUCUGAAUAGGGCGUUUAGUACGUGGUCGUAGACCCGAAACCAGGUGAUCUACCCAUGUCCAGGGUGAAGUUCAGGUAACACUGAAUGGAGGCCCGAACCCACGCACGUUGAAAAGUGCGGGGAUGAGGUGUGGGUAGCGGAGAAAUUCCAAUCGAACCUGGAGAUAGCUGGUUCUCCCCGAAAUAGCUUUAGGGCUAGCCUUAAGUGUAAGAGUCUUGGAGGUAGAGCACUGAUUGGACUAGGGGUCCUCAUCGGAUUACCGAAUUCAGUCAAACUCCGAAUGCCAAUGACUUAUCCUUAGGAGUCAGACUGCGAGUGAUAAGAUCCGUAGUCAAAAGGGAAACAGCCCAGACCGCCAGCUAAGGUCCCAAAGUGUGUAUUAAGUGGAAAAGGAUGUGGAGUUGCUUAGACAACUAGGAUGUUGGCUUAGAAGCAGCCACCAUUUAAAGAGUGCGUAAUAGCUCACUAGUCGAGUGACUCUGCGCCGAAAAUGUACCGGGGCUAAAUACACCACCGAAGCUGCGGAUUGAUACCAAUGGUAUCAGUGGUAGGGGAGCGUUCUAAGGACAGUGAAGUCAGACCGGAAGGACUGGUGGAGUGCUUAGAAGUGAGAAUGCCGGUAUGAGUAGCGAAAGACGGGUGAGAAUCCCGUCCACCGAAUGCCUAAGGUUUCCUGAGGAAGGCUCGUCCGCUCAGGGUUAGUCAGGACCUAAGCCGAGGCCGACAGGCGUAGGCGAUGGACAACAGGUUGAUAUUCCUGUACCACCUCUUUAUCGUUUGAGCAAUGGAGGGACGCAGAAGGAUAGAAGAAGCGUGCGAUUGGUUGUGCACGUCCAAGCAGUUAGGCUGAUAAGUAGGCAAAUCCGCUUAUCGUAAAGGCUGAGCUGUGAUGGGGAAGCUCCUUAUGGAGCGAAGUCUUUGAUUCCCCGCUGCCAAGAAAAGCUUCUAGCGAGAUAAAAGGUGCCUGUACCGCAAACCGACACAGGUAGGCGAGGAGAGAAUCCUAAGGUGUGCGAGAGAACUCUGGUUAAGGAACUCGGCAAAAUGACCCCGUAACUUCGGGAGAAGGGGUGCUUUCUUAACGGAAAGCCGCAGUGAAUAGGCCCAAGCGACUGUUUAGCAAAAACACAGCUCUCUGCGAAGCCGUAAGGCGAAGUAUAGGGGGUGACACCUGCCCGGUGCUGGAAGGUUAAGGAGAGGGGUUAGCGUAAGCGAAGCUCUGAACUGAAGCCCCAGUAAACGGCGGCCGUAACUAUAACGGUCCUAAGGUAGCGAAAUUCCUUGUCGGGUAAGUUCCGACCCGCACGAAAGGUGUAACGAUUUGGGCACUGUCUCAACCAGAGACUCGGUGAAAUUAUAGUACCUGUGAAGAUGCAGGUUACCCGCGACAGGACGGAAAGACCCCGUGGAGCUUUACUGUAGCCUGAUAUUGAAUUUUGGUACAGUUUGUACAGGAUAGGCGGGAGCCAUUGAAACCGGAGCGCUAGCUUCGGUGGAGGCGCUGGUGGGAUACCGCCCUGACUGUAUUGAAAUUCUAACCUACGGGUCUUAUCGACCCGGGAGACAGUGUCAGGUGGGCAGUUUGACUGGGGCGGUCGCCUCCUAAAGUGUAACGGAGGCGCCCAAAGGUUCCCUCAGAAUGGUUGGAAAUCAUUCGUAGAGUGCAAAGGCAUAAGGGAGCUUGACUGCGAGACCUACAAGUCGAGCAGGGACGAAAGUCGGGCUUAGUGAUCCGGUGGUUCCGCAUGGAAGGGCCAUCGCUCAACGGAUAAAAGCUACCCCGGGGAUAACAGGCUUAUCUCCCCCAAGAGUCCACAUCGACGGGGAGGUUUGGCACCUCGAUGUCGGCUCAUCGCAUCCUGGGGCUGUAGUCGGUCCCAAGGGUUGGGCUGUUCGCCCAUUAAAGCGGCACGCGAGCUGGGUUCAGAACGUCGUGAGACAGUUCGGUCCCUAUCCGUCGCGGGCGUAGGAAAUUUGAGAGGAUCUGCUCCUAGUACGAGAGGACCAGAGUGGACUUACCGCUGGUGUACCAGUUGUCUUGCCAAAGGCAUCGCUGGGUAGCUAUGUAGGGAAGGGAUAAACGCUGAAAGCAUCUAAGUGUGAAACCCACCUCAAGAUGAGAUUUCCCAUGAUUAUAUAUCAGUAAGAGCCCUGAGAGAUGAUCAGGUAGAUAGGUUAGAAGUGGAAGUGUGGCGACACAUGUAGCGGACUAAUACUAAUAGCUCGAGGACUUAUCCAA